AGCGGCGGACGGGUGAGUAACACGUGGGCAACCUGCCUGUAAGACUGGGAUAACUUCGGGAAACCGAAGCUAAUACCGGAUAGGAUCUUCUCCUUCAUGGGAGAUGAUUGAAAGAUGGUUUCGGCUAUCACUUACAGAUGGGCCCGCGGUGCAUUAGCUAGUUGGUGAGGUAACGGCUCACCAAGGCAACGAUGCAUAGCCGACCUGAGAGGGUGAUCGGCCACACUGGGACUGAGACACGGCCCAGACUCCUACGGGAGGCAGCAGUAGGGAAUCUUCCGCAAUGGACGAAAGUCUGACGGAGCAACGCCGCGUGAGUGAUGAAGGCUUUCGGGUCGUAAAACUCUGUUGUUAGGGAAGAACAAGUACGAGAGUAACUGCUCGUACCUUGACGGUACCUAACCAGAAAGCCACGGCUAACUACGUGCCAGCAGCCGCGGUAAUACGUAGGUGGCAAGCGUUAUCCGGAAUUAUUGGGCGUAAAGCGCGCGCAGGCGGUUUCUUAAGUCUGAUGUGAAAGCCCACGGCUCAACCGUGGAGGGUCAUUGGAAACUGGGGAACUUGAGUGCAGAA
rnacentral:rRNA from 2 species